rnacentral:rRNA from 1 species
AUAGAUGCUGGUCUCUGAGACUAAGCCAUGCAUGUUAGCGAACAGGCGGAGCGACGAACGGCUCAGUAGUGCUGCGAGGAUCUGUGCCCGCGGGGCGAUAACCACGGGAAACUGGGGCUAAGCGCGGGCGUGAGCCGCAGCCCUAUCAGCUAGUUGGCAGUGUAACGGACUACCAAGGCGGUGACGGGUGCCGGGAGAGUAGGGGUCUUGUUCCGGAGAGGGAGCCUGAGAGAUGGCUCCCACGUCCAUGGACGGCAGCAGGCGCGGGAAUUGCCCACUCUCCGGCGAGGAGGCAGUUAUGAGACAUGCGCGGAAGGGCGCACGGCAAAGCAGUGUGCGAACGCGACUGGAGGGCAAGUUUGGUGCCAGCAGGCCGCGG